rnacentral:rRNA from 1 species
UACAGAGGGUGCGAGCGUUGUUCGGAUUCAUUGGGCGUAAAGGGUGCGUAGGCGGCGCGGUAAGUCGGGUGUGAAAUCUUGGAGCUUAACUCCGAAACUGCAUUCGAUACUGCCGUGCUUGAGGACUGGAGAGGAGACUGGAAUUUACGGUGUAGCGGUGAAAUGCGUAGAUAUCGUAAGGAAGACCAGUGGCGAAGGCGGGUCUCUGGACAGUUCCUGACGCUGAGGCACGAAGGCCAGGGGAGCAAACGGG